CAUAUUUAGUCAGUGGCUUACUUCCAAAUAGAUUAUUAAGUCAGAAAGGUUUCUAUUCGAGCUCGUCAUGUUAUGUUACGUGCUCCAAAACGAGCAAGUCUUAAUGCCAUUUAUCCAUUUAUUCUAUUAUUUUCUAUUCUUCCCUUUUACAUUGCAGUAUUUUCUACUAUAUUCUAUUCUUUCUGGUAUUUCACAUAUAGACCUAUUCUAAUGUGAUAUUUUGCAUUUUAUUCUCUUCUGUUCUAUUCUCGAAGUCAUGCUCCACUUUUAGUGUACGUGGUGACGCUCUCCUGGCAGCUGUCAGCUGCUUUGUGUGGACAAGAAUCACACAGUAAUACCGGAAAUUGGGCGACUUUCUGAUGAAAAUAAAAUAAACGACGUGAUGCUUUGUCCUGAAUGAGCCAUUAUUUAUUUGAAGAGUAAUUGUAUCUAUUUUGUAGUAAUAUUACCUCUCUCGUUCACCCUAUAUUUCGCCUGGACACUUGAUAUUAAUUAAUUGAUAUUAGUAGGGAAUCAUUUUAUUUUUAAGGGUUUGACCGGAAGCCAUGUGUUUGAUUUGACUUGACGCCGAAUAGCAAUGUCCGACUUUGGACCUGACAGGAACAGCCCGGCUUCUCCUAAACAAGAUAUUUCAUCACUCCAGCAGCAGCAACAGGAUGGAUGUUCAUCAUCAUCUGUAUCAUCAUUUUGACAUCUGACACCCGUCGUGCUGUGGGGCCAUUAAGUAGCGGAUGCAGCUGAUUCCCAGCUGCAGGCGGCCCUCUCAAUGGUCUCUCCCACCAUGAAAGCGUUGGUGGAUGCCAUAUGGGCGGUGUGGAGCAUCGGGGCCUCAAUUUAUGACUACAUCAACACCAAUGCCAUGGAGGAGCGCAUCCACGCCCUGGAGAACGUUAUCACCAUCCACCAGUGUGUGAUCGGGCUGCUGUCUGCAGGCGUAUUGGCACUCUUCAGCUACAUCCUCUUCAAGAAGCUCUGAGAUGUGGGUAAGGGGUGGCCUGGGGGCGAUGUGGGGGACGUGGACUGGCCAGAAUGAGACAUUGGUGUCCGGUGUGGUAAAGCUGGUCAGGCAGACAAAGGGGAUUUUUUUAUACAUUGGACACAAAGAGGAGAUGGCGUGGGACCUAACACAUACAUGAGCACACUGCUUUUUUCAGACGAGGUGGUAGGAAGGUGCAGCAGUAUGUGGAAAAAAAACCUCACCACAAAUUAUCGUUUAGUAACUUCAGUUUAGUGCCACAUUUUGUGAUAAAUCUGUUUUGGGGAAAACACAGAGGUUCAUGUCCUUCAGUCAUCAGUAAUGUUGUGGAUGUGGAAGUGAACAUGUGGAGCUACAGAAUCCAGCAGCGGCUUUUUAAAAGGCCAGUAUAGAGUUUUUGUACUGAUGAUGAAGGAUUUUAUGUGCCGCUAUUCAAUAUAUUUAAAUUUUGAUUUAAUACUCAACUUUAAUGGCUUUACAACCAAAAGGAUUCCUUGUCCCCCGUCACAGAAAACUUUCUUCUUAAGGGAGUUAAAAUGCCUCUGAAAAAGCAUUUAGACCAUCAUGGGACAUUGUGACUCAGCAGCUCACUGCAAGUCUUGCAGGCUGUUGACUAAAAUAUGUCCUUCACACAUUUGAACUAUCUGAAAAUAUCAAAAGACAACAAAAAUAUCCAGUGUCAGCACAGACACUCAGUGUGCAGUGAAUAUGAAAUGGCCAAUAUGCAAGUUUUUCUGCAAAGCCCAAGUAGCUGAACAUAUCAGAAACCCAGUACAUCUGCCAACACUAUCAGAAACCUCUACACACACACUGAAGUAUUAGUGUGGUGUCAGUGCUACGUCAAACUCAUGUUACACUGAGACGGCUUCUGCUGACAGAAUGCGUCUGGGCAUUGCCCCCACACUGUAAUUCACUCUUUUCUAAAGGGAUCGUCAGUGAAAUGAAUAGUUCGCCAUAACAACUUAUGCCUUAAUGCGCAUCAUGUUCACUUUUGCACUGAUUUCCUCAAAGCCUAAGAAGCCCUGAAACUAGUUUCUGUGAGAAAGAUGAUCAGAGAGUGCAGAGAUACUUUAAUAUCUCAAAGGUCUUCGAUAGUGUCAUUUCACAUUGUCACACCCUAAAAUCUCGUGUUACAAUUUUAUAGGUGUGUAUUAUCUACAUUAUUAGACUUUAAAGAGCAACAUCAUGAUCCAUUUAUAUAAUGCUUUUUCCAUUAAUGUAAUACCUCAUAGUUGUUAAAUUACUGUAGUUGCCUCUGCUGUAUAAAACAAUGUAUACUGUUUAUAACAAUUUGAAGUGUCCUUAAAAACUGUAAAUAUAUUUGGAUGUAUAUGGACAGUUUUGUUUAACCCGCCAUUGUAACGUUUCAUAGAUGUGCAACUGUCCCAUAGUACUACUGCUGCUUAAUAUUUGUUUUUUUUUGUUUUUUUUUAAAGGCGACAUUUUGUACCAUGAAACACUUGCUCAAUGUGUGAAAUUAGUAUUUUAGAGGAUAAUGGAUGUUUUUGUCAUAGUUACUUAAACUAACCUGUGAUGGGUCUAAAACUGUGGUGGGUCAUUGAAAACUAUUUCCAUAUGUGAUGUUUGUUUAUCUGUGAACAUUUGUUAUGUCUCAGAGGGACCACAACAGAGAACACCCCAGAAUGAAAGACUGUUUUAAUAUGUUUAACAAUAUAACACCAUCAAAGUUUGUGUGGAAUUCAAUUAAACUGGACACCUUUAUAAUA